AAGUCGUAACAAGGUUUUCGUAGGUGAACCUGCGGAAGGAUCAUUACUGAGUUGCAACUCCCCCGGGAGCCAUCUCCACCCCGUGUGAACGAACUUCUGUUGCUUUGGCGGGCCGCGGCCCUGCCGCCGCCGGCUCCGACUGGCGAGCGCCCGCCAGAGACCUUUAAUUCUGCUUAAUUGUCGUCUGAGCAAAACAUAAAUGCAAAAAACUUUCAACAACGGAUCUCUUGGUUCUGGCAUCGAUGAAGAACGCAGCGAAAUGCGAUAAGUAAUGUGAAUUGCAGAAUUCCGCGAAUCAUCGAAUCUUUGAACGCACAUUGCGCCCUUUGGUAUUCCGAAGGGCAUGCCUGUUCGAGCGUCAUUUACACCCUCAAGCCCAGCUUGGUCCUGGAGGCCGCCCCCCUGGGCGCCCCCGAAAUUCAGCGGCGGCGUAGCCGACUCCCUGGCGUAGUGACUUACUGCCGCCCCGGAGCUCGGUCGUUCGUCAGCCGGACAACGCCCAAUUUUCUAAAAUCGACCUCGGAUCAGGUAGGACUACCCGCUGAACUUAAGCAUAACAAUAAGCGGAGGAAAAGAAACCAACCGGGAUUGCCCUAGUAACGGCGAGUGAAGCGGCAGCAGCUCAAAUUUGAAAUCUGGCCUACGGCCCGAAUUGUAAUUGGCAGAGGAUGCAUCGGGGGCGGCCCCGUUCCAAGUCCGCUGGAACGUGGCGUCAUAGAGGGUGAGAAUCCCGUACGUGAGCGGUGUCCGCUCCCAUGUGAUGCUCCUUCGACGAGUCGAGUUGUUUGGGAAUGCAGCUCUAAAUGGGUGGUAUAUUUCAUCUAAAGCUAAAUACUGGCCAGAGACCGAUAGCGCACAAGUAGAGUGAUCGAAAGAUGAAAAGCACUUUGGAAAGAGAGUUAAACAGUACGUGAAAUUGUUGAAAGGGAAGCGCUUGCAGCCAGACUCGCCCGGGGUGCUCAGCCGUCCUUCGGGGCGGCGUACUCGCCUUCGGGCGGGCCAGCAUCGGUUCGGGCGGCCGGAUAAAGGCCCCGGGAACGUGGCUCCCCACGGGGAGUGUUAUAGCCCGGGGUGCAAUGCGGCCAGCCUGGACCGAGGACCGCGCUUCGGCGAGGAUGCUGGCGUAAUGGCUGUCAGCGACC
rnacentral:rRNA from 1 species